GUGCUCGUCUUCCCUGAGCACCCCAUAUAUCACGUCAGAAUGAUACAGAGAUGAGCUUGGCCCCUGCUCAAGGAUGACACACAAAUUCUUAGAGCUUAUCUCUUUCCUA